rnacentral:rRNA from 1 species
AUGACAGAAACGUUGGAAAAUCAAUCGAUGGAGUUAUUGGGAGGUGGGAAGACAAGGAAGUGGCUAGGGAGCCUCUCGCCACUUCCCCGCCUGGAUAAACCGAACGCCUCCCUCACCGGCUACACCGUCAUCGACGACAUCAAGUCUGCGCUCGAGCACGACUGCCCGGCAACCGUCUCCUGCGCUGAUGUUAUCGCACUGGCGUCCCACGACGCUGUCGCCCUAAUCGGAGGUCCCACAUGGAGCGUCCACCUCGGCCGCAAGGACUCGCGCUUCGCCGCCAACCCGGAAUCCACCGAGAAUGGCCUCCCCAGCCACAACCUCGCCGAGCUCGUCACCAUGUUUUCAAAGCUCAACCUGACGCCCGUGACAUGA